rnacentral:rRNA from 1 species
GAUGAACGCUAGCGGCAGGCUUAACACAUGCAAGUCGAGGGGUAUUUAUCUUCGGAUAGAGAGACCGGCGCACGGGUGCGUAACGCGUAUGCAAUCUACCUUUUACAGAGGGAUAGCCCAGAGAAAUUUGGAUUAAUACCUCAUAGUAUAUAGACUCGGCAUCGAGAUUAUAUUAAAGUCACAACGGUAAAAGAUGAGCAUGCGUCCCAUUAGCUAGUUGGUAAGGUAACGGCUUACCAAGGCUACGAUGGGUAGGGGUCCUGAGAGGGAGAUCCCCCACACUGGUACUGGGACACGGACCAGACUCCUACGGGACGCAGCAGUGAGGAAUAUUGGACAAUGGGCGCAAGCCUGAUCCAGCCAUGCCGCGUGCAGGAUGCCGGUCCUAUGGAUUGUAACCUGCUUUUAUACGAGAAGAAACACUGCUACGUGUAGCAGCUUGACGGUAUCGUAAGAAUAAGGAUCGGCUAACUCCGUG